UUAAACAGGCAAAUCACAGUGGUUUGACAUUAUAGGAAUAAAUACGUCGAAAUACCGAUAUAUAAUAUACUGCUUAUAUAAGAUGGUAUAUUUAAAAAAAAGAGGAAGGGAUGUUAAAGUCGUGCAAGCCGGACAGCAAAAUACUCUGUACCCAAAAAUACAUCAGCAACUUCAAGGACGAACUGGCGGAGUAUUAUUCCGCUAUAUCUUUUAUGGAGACGUAAAUUAAGGUAGAGUUACAUAUAUUUUAUUUUUAUUUUUAGAUUUGAUUUUGUAGUUUUGGAACUUAGGACUUUGUAGUGAAGGGAAAAUAAACCAAAAAUGUAAUUGCA